GACACUGAAGAUCAAAAUCACUUGAUGACAAAAUAAUUCUUCUGGAACUAUAACAUAUGUGUAUGGAUUUUAAUAGUAAAUUAAAUCUUUGCACUUAUUUGGCACAAGGAAACCUUUAUAAAAAUUCAAAUGCCAUAGAGCAGGCUUCUUCUUCUUUUUUUUUUUGCAAGGCUUACACAGUACACAUUUUUGUCAAGGAAAACUGAAUAUUUUAACACUGUAACACAACAGUAGUUGCUUUUCAUGCCUCUUAAAGAAAACGCUCUAUUUGGAACUCAGAUCUUUUUUGUUGUGUUUUAAAAUUGUGUAUUUGUUUGCUUUUAACCACGCCAACAGAACAAAAAGCCAAAGAUUUACUUUAUUUCAAAGGACUCAUUUCUGUUGGAUAACACAUAUACAGCAUCAGCAAGGAAUAUUACUGGAGGAUAGGUAGACCCCCAUCAGGAAUGGAUCAUAACACACAUUUCAGCAGCAAGUCAGGUCUGGAAAUGUGCACAGCAGCAAAAGAACAGAGAAGUUGAAAACAACACAGAAUGAGGCUUUGUCAGGCGUUCAAAUUA
rnacentral:lncRNA from 1 species